rnacentral:rRNA from 1 species
GACGAACGCUGGCGGCGUGCCUAAUACAUGCAAGUCGAGCGCAGGAAACUGACGGAACUCUUCGGAGGGAAGGCAGUGGAAUGAGCGGCGGACGGGUGAGUAACACGUAAGGAACCUGCCUCAAGGAUUGGGAUAACUCCGAGAAACCGGAGCUAAUACCGGAUAGUUCAUCGGACCGCAUGGUCCGUUGAUUAAAGGUGCCCCGGCGUCACCUUGAGAUGGCCUUGCGGUGCAUUAGCUAGUUGGUGGGGUAACGGCCCACCAAGGCGACGAUGCAUAGCCGACCUGAGAGGGUGAUCGGCCACACUGGGACUGAGACACGGCCCAGACUCCUACGGGAGGCAGCAGUAGGGAAUCUUCCACAAUGGACGAAAGUCUGAUGGAGCAACGCCGCGUGAGUGAUGAAGGUUUUCGGAUCGUAAAACUCUGUUGUAAGGGAAGAACACGUACGAGAGGAAAUGCUCGUACCUUGACGGUACCUUACGAGAAAGCCACGGCUAACUACGUGCCAGCAGCCGCAGUAAAAC